rnacentral:rRNA from 1 species
AUUGAACGCUGGCGGCAUGCUUUACACAUGCAAGUCGAACGGCAGCGCGGGCUUCGGCCUGGCGGCGCGUGGCGAACGGGUGAGUAAUACAUCGGAAUGUGCCCAGCUUGGGGGGGUGGCACCGCGAAAGACGGAGUGAUACCGCAUACGAGCUGCUGGUGAAAGCGGGGGGUCGUCGGACCGUGUGCUCGUGUGGGGGCCGAUGCGAGGCUUGCUAGUUUGUGGGGUAAGGGCCUACCUAGUCGAGGAUCUGUAGCUGGUCUGACAGGACGAGAGGCCACACUGGGACUGAGCCAGGGCCCAGACUCCUACGGGAGGCACCAGUGUGGAAUUGUGGACAAUGGGGGAAAACCUGGUCCAGCAAUGGGGCGCGUGUGAUGAAGGCGUUCCGUUUGUAAAGACCUCCUGGCGGGAACGAACAGGACUGUGCUAAUACGACGGGUGGGUGACGGUACCCGCAGAAUAAGCACCGGCUAACUACGUG